rnacentral:rRNA from 1 species
UGAACGCUGGCGGCAUGCCUAACACAUGCAAGUCGAACGCGAAAGUCACUUCGGUGGCGAGUAGAGUGGCGGACGGGUGAGUAACGCAUGGGAAUCUACCUUACAGUGGGGGACAACCCGAGGAAACUCGGGCUAAUACCGCAUACGACCUACGGGUGAAAGGGGGCUUCGGCUCUCGCUGUUGGAUGAGCCCAUGUCCGAUUAGCUUGUUGGUGAGGUAAAGGCUCACCAAGGCGACGAUCGGUAGCUGGUCUAAGCGGAUGAUCAGCCACACUGGGACUGAGACACGGCCCAGACUCCUACGGGAGGCAGCAGUGGGGAAUAUUGGACAAUGGGGGAAACCCUGAUCCAGCAAUGCCGCGUGUGUGAAGAAGGCCUGCGGGUUGUAAAGCACUUUCAGUGGGGAAGAAAAGCCGAGGGUUAAUACCCCUUGGUCUUGACGUUACCCACAGAAGAAGCACCGGCUAACUCC